rnacentral:rRNA from 1 species
CUCCUUUGACGUUAGCGGCGGACGGGUGAGUAACACGUGGGUAACCUACCUAUAAGACUGGGAUAACUUCGGGAAACCGGAGCUAAUACCGGAUAAUAUUUCGAACCGCAUGGUUCGAUAGUGAAAGGUGGUUUUGCUAUCACUUAUAGAUGGACCCGCGCCGUAUUAGCUAGUUGGUAAGGUAACGGCUUACCAAGGCGACGAUACGUAGCCGACCUGAGAGGGUGAUCGGCCACACUGGAACUGAGACACGGUCCAGACUCCUACCGGGAGGCAGCAGCG